rnacentral:rRNA from 1 species
GACGAACGCUGGCGGCGUGCCUAAUACAUGCAAGUCGAACGCUGAAGAGAGGAGCUUGCUCUUCUUGGCUGAGUUGCGAACGGGUGAGUAACGCGUAGGUAACCUGCCUUGUAGCGGGGGAUAACUAUUGGAAACGAUAGCUAAUACCGCAUAACAAUGGAUGACACAUGUCAUUUAUUAGAAAGGGGCAAUUGCUCCACUACAAGAUGGACCUGCGUUGUAUUAGCUAGUAGGUGAGGUAAUGGCUCACCUAGGCGACGAUACAUAGCCGACCUGAGAGGGAGGUCGGCCACACUGGGACUGGGACACGGCCCAGGAUUCUACGGGGGGGAGCAGGAGGGAAUCUUCGGAAAUGGGGGCAAACCUGACCGAGCAACGCCGCGGGAGGGAAGAAAGGUUUCGGAUCGGAAAGCUCUGUUGUAAGUGAAGAAAGGGUGGGAGAGUGGAAAGUUCACACUGUGACGGUAGCUUAACAGAAAGGGACGGCUAACUACGUG